CCUACGGGAGGCAGCAGUGGGGAAUCUUGCGCAAUGGGCGAAAGCCUGACGCAGCAACGCCGCGUGCGGGAAGAAGGCUUUCGGGCUGUAAACCGCUUUCAGCAGGAACGAAAAUGACGGUACCUGCAGAAGAAGGAGCGGCCAACUAUGUGCCAGCAGCCGCGGUGAUACAUAGGCUUCAAGCGUUGUCCGGAUUUAUUGGGCGUAAAGAGUUCGUAGGCGGUCGAGUAAGUCGGGUGUGAAAAUUCUGGGCUCAACCCAGAGACGCCACCCGAUACUGCUUAACUUGAGUUCGAUAGGGGAGUGGGGAAUUCCUAGUGUAGCGGUGAAAUGCGCAGAUAUUAGGAGGAACACCGGUGGCGAAGGCGCCACUCUGGAUCGAUACUGACGCUGAGGAGCGAAAGCAUGGGUAGCAAACAGGAUUAGAUACCCUGGUAGUCCAUGCCGUAAACGGUGGGCACUAGGUGUGGGAUUCUAUUAACGAUUUCCGNGCCGUCGCUAACGCAUUAAGUGCCCCGCCUGGGGAGUACGGUCGCAAGACUAAAACUCAAUGAAUUGACGGCUGAGAGUGCGAGCGACGACGAGGAGAGG
rnacentral:rRNA from 1 species